rnacentral:rRNA from 1 species
GUCCCGGUUUAAGCGUGUAGGGGGUGUGACCUGGUAAAUCCGGUUGCAUACUAACCCUGAGGCGUGAUGACGAUGCACUACGGUGCAGAAGUAGUUGAUGCCCUGCUUCCAGGAAAAGCCUCUAAGCUCCAGGUAACAUUAAAUCGUACCCCAAACCGACACAGGUGGUCAGGUAGAGAAUACCAAGGCGCUUGAGAGAACUCGGGUGAAGGAACUAGGCAAAAUGGUGCCGUAACUUCGGGAGA